AUGAAAUUGGGGUUUCUGUGCCGCCUUUCACGAGGAUUGUGCACGCUACCCCUUAAUCCUUUUAACACCUGUGCACAUUGAGAGAAUUGUUGAGUGGCUUAAUUGCUGCGAGACAGAUCUCUAUUAUAAACUCAUAGUCAAAUGAAUGUUCAUUGGCCGAAAGGCUCUAAAUAAAA
rnacentral:misc_RNA from 1 species